rnacentral:rRNA from 1 species
GACGAACGCUGGCGGCGUGCUUAACACAUGCAAGUCGAACGAAGUGGCGAACGGGUGUGUAACGCGUAAUCAACCUGCCCUUCAGAGGGGGACAACAGUUGGCAACGACUGCUAAUACCGCAUACUGAAGGAGGGGAUUGCGUCUGAUUCGGUAGUUGGAGGGGUAACGGCCCACCAAGGCGAAGAUCAGUAGCCGGGCUGAGGGGAUGAACGGCCACAAUGGGACUGAGGCACGGCCCAGACUCCUACGGGGGGCAGCAGUGGGGAAUCUUCCGCAAUGGGGGAAAGGCUGACGGAGCAACGGCGCGUGAGUGAUGACGGCCUUCGGGUUGUAAAGCUCUGUUAAUCGGGACGCGGUACCGGAAUAGAAAGCCACGGCUAACUACGUGCCAGCCGCCGCGGUAAUUC